AAAAAAAAAACAACAAAAAUACAAGGUUUAGUCAGCUGCUGUUACAAACUGUUUAGGAUGAUUAAAUAAUGGAAGUCAGUAGUCAAUCAAACGCAUAGGUUAGAUAUUAGUCUGGAUUAUCACAGAAAUAUACAUCCUGGGUUGUACAGAUCAUAGGUAGCUGGAGACAGGCAAUGUUUGCUUGUUCAGAUAUGCUAUGAGUAGACAGAUGAUCUUCAAAGGUGUCAGAGAUCCACAGACCAUGGAAUUUAAAGUUACUUUAUUAUUAAAAGAUCUAUAAGACAGAUUGGCUCCUGACAGUACCCCUGUUCCACUUCAGAAAAGAUGAUGAGAAUCAAUAACCUCCAAGUGGAGUUGCUUCAAUUGAUAGCCACUGGGCAAGAACUGCCCUAACCUCAUCUGCAGACAGAAUGCUGUCCAAACAGCCAGACAAACAGAUGCAGGAUAGUUGGCUGCUGAGCUCUGCCAAGACAAGCUCUGUGAGUCCCGAUAUCUGGGACUCACACACGAUCUCUGCGCUGAAGGGCUUGCUUGGGCUGCUUGCUUCUCUGGUUUGGCGCCCACAGCACACAUGUUGUCUCCUAGACUUGGAUCGGCUCCACUCCACACACUGGCCACUGUCAUGGUCCUUCCACAGUCCUGGGUCCUCUCAUCCCCUGGAAUCUUCACGGCAACUGAGGCUUCACUGACAGCAAUGGCCUCCCGGCUGACCUGCAGAGACUCCACUCCUGCUGUAUGGUGUCGAGCGCCUGGACAGUUCUCCUUCAGUCCUGUGGGUCUCACUGUAACCGAGCAUACGUCUUCACCUAUGGCUUCCUGGCCUCUCUGCCAACCGUACCAAGCCUGACUGCUCGCCAUGACAUCCUCAUGUCUUCAAAAACAGCACAUGUGGAAGACUGUUCUCUGA